CACAAACACACACAUUCAGAGCACAAGAGUCGAUCGCCUACAAUUACGAGAAAAAAACCAAAACCCUAGAAGCUUUCCGAGUUGCAGUUCAGAUUUGAUCCAAAUCGAAGCUUGAGAAGUGCGAGAAGGUAUCAGAUUCUGAUAGCCUCAACUGCACUCGGAAAGUCGUCUUGAAAAUGGCCGCUCCCAGUGGUUCAAGCAGGAGACAGUCCUCCAUUGUUGCAGAACUAGUGGAGGUGGAGAAGAAUUCAACUAGCAAGAUGCAAAUGCUUUGAGUUAUACCUAGCAGUGAACAAAUCUGCCUCGUAUGCCCUCUAUCAGCUAACGUGUAUCCGAGUAAGCUUUUUCUUUUUGUGAUUUUUUCGUGUCACAAUAGAGAUAGCUAAUUCUUCUUAAUCUUAGUUCAACCACUUUAGUUAUUUUCUCAUUGUUUGUAGUUGCUUGCUAGCUAUCCUGAUGUCUUUCUUCCUUGUGCUAGAAGAGUUCGUACAUGCUCUAUAUUAAUCAGUUAAUUACAGGCGAAUAUAUCCAAGUUAUGCUGUGGGGAUGUUUUGCCUUAGCUAUGACAGCUUAGGAAAGGUGUUAGAUGAUGCUUCACUAAUGCAAUCAUGGUAGUGAGCAGGAAAAUUUUCUCAUUUUCUCAUUUACUUUUUUUUUUUGUGUACCAUAUGAUUUGAUUCUGUUUUAUGUGUGUUACGUUAUUUGUUUUAUCUGAUAAAAUAAUAUGUUUCCUUUCUGAGCAGAAGUGGAUGCACUUUUUUUUUUUUUUUUUUAACUUCAGGUGCCAUAUACAGUAUCUAUGUAUGAGUUGGAUGGUGAUAUUUGGAUUACUUUUUGCCAUCUUUCUAACAGGAGUUCGGACGAUAUUUCCUCCUUUGAUAGCUUGCCACCUAGACGUUCAAUGUAAACUUGGUUAGUCUGUUUGUCUUACACACGGACAUGCACACACAUAAACGCAGGACAUAUAUAUAUGCUCUAACUCUGUUGGAUGAUAGGAUGCCUGUACCUGUACUUUGUUACCAGGGAGUGGAGAAA